UUCGCCCUUGGUUGAUCCUGCCGGACCCGACUGCUAUCAGAGUGAGAUUAAGCCAUGCGAGUCAACGUAGCAAUACGUGGCAUACGGCUCAGUAACACGUAGUCAACAUAACCAAAGGACGUGGAUAAACUCGGGAAACUGAGGCUAAACCGCGAUAGACCAAGAUACCUGGAAUGGUUUUUGAUUAAAAUCUAUAUGGCCUUUGGAUUGGACUGCGUCCGAUCAGGCUGUUGGUGAGGUAAUGGCCCACCAAACCUAUAACCGGUACGGGCUCUGAGAGGAGGAGCCCGGAGAUGGGUACUGAGAUAAGGACCCAGGCCCUAUGGGGCGCAGCAGGCGCGAAACCUCUGCAAUAGGCGAAAGCUUGACAGGGUUACUCUGAGUGACUUUCGUUAAGAAAGUCUUUUGACACCUCUAAAAAUGGUGUAGAAUAAGGGGUGGGCAAGUCUGGUGUCAGCCGCCGCGGUAAUACCAGCACCCCGAGUGGUCGGGACGAUUAUUGGGCCUAAAGCAUCCGUAGCCGGCCUUACAAGUCCUCCGUUAAAUCCAGCUGCUUAACAGAUGGGCUGCGGAGGAUACUAUAAGACUAGGAGGCAGGAGAGGCAAGCGGUACUCAGUGGGUAGGGGUAAAAUCCGUUGAUCCAUU
rnacentral:rRNA from 1 species